rnacentral:rRNA from 1 species
UACAGAGGUUACAAGCAUUGUCCGGGAAUCACUGGGCGUAAGCGUUUCGCAGGUGUUUUCUAAGUUAUGUUUAAAGACCGGGGCUCAACCUCGGGAACGGGCGUAAUACUGGAAAAAUUAAGGGUAUCCGGGGCUAUUGGAACUGUCGGUGUAGGGGUGAAAUCCUUGAUAUCGACAGGGAACCUCCGAGGGCGUAGGGCAGGAUAGCUAGGGUACCCUCUUUGACACU